GACGAACGCUGGCGGCGUGCUUAACACAUGCAAGUCGAACGGAAAGGCCCUGCUUUUGUGGGGUGCUCGAGUGGCGAACGGGUGAGUAACACGUGAGUAACCUGCCCUUGACUUUGGGAUAACUUCAGGAAACUGGGGCUAAUACCGGAUAGGAGCUCCUGCUGCAUGGUGGGGGUUGGAAAGUUUCGGCGGUUGGGGAUGGACUCGCGGCUUAUCAGCUUGUUGGUGGGGUAGUGGCUUACCAAGGCUUUGACGGGUAGCCGGCCUGAGAGGGUGACCGGCCACAUUGGGACUGAGAUACGGCCCAGACUCCUACGGGAGGCAGCAGUGGGGAAUAUUGCACAAUGGGCGGAAGCCUGAUGCAGCAACGCCGCGUGCGGGAUGACGGCCUUCGGGUUGUAAACCGCUUUCGCCUGUGACGAAGCGUGAGUGACGGUAAUGGGUAAAGAAGCACCGGCUAACUACGUGCCAGCAGCCGCGGUGAUACGUAGGGUGCGAGCGUUGUCCGGAUUUAUUGGGCGUAAAGGGCUCGUAGGUGGUUGAUCGCGUCGGAAGUGUAAUCUUGGGGCUUAACCCUGAGCGUGCUUUCGAUACGGGUUGACUUGAGGAAGGUAGGGGAGAAUGGAAUUCCUGGUGGAGCGGUGGAAUGCGCAGAUAUCAGGAGGAACACCAGUGGCGAAGGCGGUUCUCUGGGCCUUUCCUGACGCUGAGGAGCGAAAGCGUGGGGAGCGAACAGGCUUAGAUACCCUGGUAGUCCACGCUGUAAACGGUGGGUACUAGGUGUGGGGUCCAUUCCACGGGUUCCGUGCCGUAGCUAACGCUUUAAGUACCCCGCCUGGGGAGUACGGCCGCAAGGCUAAAACUCAAAGGAAUUGACGGGGCCCCGCACAAGCGGCGGAGCAUGCGGAUUAAUUCGAUGCAACGCGUAGAACCUUACCUGGGUUUGACAUGGAUCGGGAGCGCUCAGAGAUGGGUGUGCCUCUUUUGGGGUCGGUUCACAGGUGGUGCAUGGCUGUCGUCAGCUCGUGUCGUGAGAUGUUGGGUUAAGCCUCGCAACGAGCGCAACCCUUGUUCACUGUUGCCAGCACGUUAUGGUGGGGACUCAGUGGAGACCGCCGGGGUCAACUCGGAGGAAGGUGGGGAUGACGUCAAGUCAUCAUGCCCCUUAUGUCCAGGGCUUCACGCAUGCUACAAUGGCUGGUACAGAGAGUGGCGAGCCUGUGAGGGUGAGCGAAUCUCGGAAAGCCGGUCUCAGUUCGGAUUGGGGUCUGCAACUCGACCUCAUGAAGUCGGAGUCGCUAGUAAUCGCAGAUCAGCAACGCUGCGGUGAAUACGUUCCCGGG
rnacentral:rRNA from 1 species